AGCGAACGCUGGCGGCAGGCUUAACACAUGCAAGUCGAGCGGGCACUUUCGGGUGUCAGCGGCGGACGGGUGAGUAACGCGUGGUAACGUGCCCUCUGGUUCGGAAUAACUCAGGGAAACUUGAGCUAAUACCGGAUACGCCCUUUUGGGGAAAGGCUUACUGCCGGAGGAUCGGCCCGCGUCUGAUUAGCUAGUUGGUGAGGUAAGGGCACACCAAGGCGACGAUCAGUAGAUGGUCUGAGAGGAUGAUCAGCCACACUGGGACUGAGACACGGUCGAGACUCCUACGGGAGGCAGCAGUGGGGAAUAGUGGACAGUGGGCGCAAGCCUGAUCGAGCCAGGCCGGGUGAGUGAUGAAGGUCUUAGGGUUGUAAAGCGCAUUUAUCCGGGACGAUAAUGACGGUACCGGAGGAAUAAGCCCCGGCUAACUACGUG
rnacentral:rRNA from 1 species